GAACAAUGACUGCUUGGGGCCACUGGCCCAUCACACUGUAGCAGCCAUGGAACAAUUAGCUUCCUGCCUCAUGUUCCCAUGUUAACCCAGGGGUCCUGCAUUUAUGAGGAGAAACAAGACACCAUUCUUUAGUUGAAGGAAACCACAGUGUGAAACAGAAAGACGUAUGAUGUGAUGUGCAGCCAUAUGGUUGGUUAAAAAGAGUGUCAAGCCAGUAUCUUGAAACUUUAUUCCAUGAGGAUCCUCCUGCCACGACAGAUGAAUAGUCCUGAGAAGCAGCAUAAGCAGGAUGAUAACAAUGAUUCAUGAUGUGCUCCCAAGCAAACUAUUGCAGGCUUAACGUUUGCUAUCCACGCUAUGCAGACAUCGCCCUGCUGGGAAUCUGCUCCUCUGUUACAAUUGCUCUACAGGUCUAUGUCCACACGGUGUCUGCUGCCACAGCUCCAGCUGAGACAGCGUCAUCUCCUGAGACCCACGGAAAACAAAGCUGCCUUCUUCCAGACACCUCAUCUGGCUGAAGACUCCCGAGAUGAAAUCCAGAGACACGUGCUAAACCUCACAGAAGAAAGACUUGGGACCUUCCAGCUACAGAUGAACUCUCUUGCCAAAGCCAAAUGACUGCUGAACUGGGGGAAAGUUACAAGAUAGUGAGAAAAACAUAGAGUCUAUCUAGAUUAAUUAAUUGCUGUUCAAAACAGAUGUUAUUACCCUCAAACAAUUACCCCGGAACAAUUGAUUCUAUAAUCUCUUGCCUUCCCAGCCCUUACCCUUAACCCUCCUUACCACUCUGGCUUAGUUGUGCUACUCCUCUAGCCUGUAUGUUUUCUUCUGAUACUUCCACUCUACCCCAAAUUUUCACCACAAAUGACACAGUCACUCCAAUGACCCUUCCCUUUAAAAAAAAAUGUAAAAGGGGAAUUUGUGGGACUGUGAAAGGCAGCUUGUUUCUGGUCGAGAGAGACUUACUCUGAAGACCCAGUAGAAAUUCUACAAGGGAUGAAACAGUGAGCCAUGCUCCCAGACAGACAUGCUCCCAGCAUGACACCACAGAGCCCUCAACUCCAUAAUUCUGUGACUAUCAGUCACACAGACAAUGUCCCAAGCUCCUGACAUUCUGGCUAGCCUCUAUCCUCACAGUUACCUGACAAUAGCCAGGUAUGCUCUUUCCCACAGCUACCCUGUAACUGCAAGAUAGCCCAGCCCACUAUAAAAGGGGCUGCUUGGCCCCUCCUCUCUCUUAAGCUCUCACCUCUCUUAUUCUCAUCUCUAGUUCUCCUUCUCCACUUCCAUUUCCUCCCUCUCUCCACGUGGCCAUGGCCAGCCUCUCUCCUUCUACCUUUUGUUUUUCUCUUUGCCUUUCUACAAUAUAGCUCUAAAACCAUAGAUUAUCUCUGCUCAUUGAGAUUCGCCAUGUUGGGACAACAGAGUGGGCUUUCCUCUAAAAAGUCGUGUCUAACCUCCCACCGGAAGACCUUUCUGGGCUCCAGCCAUGGACCAGACCAAGGACUCUUGCCCGAGUGGAAACCUCUUAGCACUUCCCUCUUGCCCUCUUCUCCCUUUGGCCCCUGGGCUGACCAAGCUGUCCCCGUAGCCCCCACUUUGUUUUCAGCUCUUUCAAGACAUACAGCGAAGUCUGGGAUGUCUGAGACUGAGAACCUGCCAUCUCUGGCCUCUGUGAGGCCCAGAGACCUCGGACUGCUCCCUCUCCAUGCCCCCUCUCCCCCUGGGUUCUGUGGCUUCCCACAGCCAGACACCCACCUGGGGCCACGUGGAGACCGCGCCCCACACCCCUCGUCUGUCUGCCCAGAGCACUGGAGCUUUGGCAGGACUUAGGUUCUCUCCCAUCCCCUUUAUUCCCCCAUGCCUGCUGCUCGACACUGAACUAGGGGCCAAUACUUGUGUUGGGACUACAGUUUACAACUCACUCCUUCUAGGUCUCUACUAUAGAUCAGACAGAUGAUCUGAGCUCAGCCUUCUUUUACUGGACAGUGAGCCUCCCAUCUAAGCUCACGACAGGACUCCCUAUCUUUCCCUGGAUGCUCUAGGAUGGCAUUGUAGCUUCCUACUCAUGACCUGCACACACAAAAACCAUGUUUGUACGGGAGUCUCUGGUAAACUGGAUGAACAUGUGGCAGU
rnacentral:lncRNA from 1 species